rnacentral:rRNA from 1 species
GACGAACGCUGGCGGCGUGCUUAACACAUGCAAGUCGAACGGAAAGGCCCUGCUUUUGUGGGGUGCUCGAGUGGCGAACGGGUGAGUAACACGUGAGUAACCUGCCCUUGACUUUGUGAUAACUUCAGGAAACUGGGGCUAAUACCGGAUAGGAGCUCCUGCUGCAUGGUGGGGGUUGGAAAGUUUCGGCGGUUGGGGAUGGACUCGCGGCUUAUCAGCUGGUUGGUGGGGUAGUGGCUUACCAAGGCUUGGACGGGUAGCCGGCCUGAGAGGGUGACCGGCCACAUUGGGACUGAGAUACGGCCCAGACUCCUACGGGAGGCAGCAGUGGGGAAUAUUGCACAAUGGGCGGAAGCCUGAUGCAGCAACGCCGCGUGCGGGAUGACGGCCUUCGGGUUGUAAACCGCUUUCGCCUGUGACGAAGCGUGAGUGACGGUAAUGGGUAAAGAAGCACCGGCUAACUACGUG